GACGAACGCUGGCGGCGUGCUUAACACAUGCAAGUCGAGCGGUAAGGCCCUUUCGGGGGUACACGAGCGGCGAACGGGUGAGUAACACGUGGGUGACCUGCCCUCAGCUCUGGGAUAAGCCUGGGAAACCGGGUCUAAUACUGGAUAUGACUCCAUGACGCAUGUUGUGGGGUGGAAAGCCUUGUGCGGCUGAGGAUGGGCCCGCGGCCUAUCAGCUUGUUGGUGGGGUGANGGCCUACCAAGGCGACGACGGGUAGCCGGCCUGAGAGGGCGACCGGCCACACUGGGACUGAGACACGGGCCCAGACUCCUACGGGAGGCAGCAGUGGGGAAUCUCGCGCAAUGGGCGAAAGCCUGACGCAGCGACGCCGCGUGAGGGAUGACGGCCU
rnacentral:rRNA from 1 species